rnacentral:rRNA from 1 species
CCUACGGGAGGCAGCAGUGGGGAAUAUUGCACAAUGGGCGAAAGCCUGAUGCAGCAACGCCGCGUGAAGGAAGAAGGUCUUCGGAUCGUAAACUUCUGUCAGGAGGGAAGAAAGCGCAUGGCGCCAAUCAGCCAUGCGUUGACGGUACCUCCAAAGGAAGCGCCGGCUAACUCCGUGCCAGCAGCCGCGGUAAUACGGAGGGCGCGAGCGUUAAUCGGAAUUACUGGGCGUAAAGCGCGCGUAGGCUGUUGUGUAAGUUGGGGGUGAAAUCCCACGGCUCAACCGUGGAACAGCCCUUGAUACUG